rnacentral:rRNA from 1 species
UGGGGAAUAUUGGACAAUGGGCGAAAGCCUGAUCCAGCCAUGCCGCGUGUGUGAAGAAGGUCUUCGGAUUGUAAAGCACUUUAAGUUGGGAGGAAGGGCAUUAACCUAAUACGUUAGUGUUUUGACGUUACCGACAGAAUAAGCACCGGCUAACUCUGUGCCAGCAGCCGCGGUAAUACAGAGGGUGCAAGCGUUAAUCGGAAUUACUGGGCGUAAAGCGCGCGUAGGUGGUUUGUUAAGUUGGAUGUGAAAUCCCCGGGCUCAACCUGGGAACUGCAUUCAAAACUGACUGACUAGAGUAUGGUAGAGGGUGGUGGAAUUUCCUGUGUAGCGGUGAAAUGCGUGGAUAUAGGAAGGAACACCAGUGGCGAAGGCGACCACCUGGACUAAUACUGACACUGAGGUGCGAAAGCGUGGGGAGCAAACA